rnacentral:rRNA from 1 species
GACGAACGCUGGCGGCGUGCUUAACACAUGCAAGUCGAACGGAAAGGCCCUGCUUUUGUGGGGUGCUCGAGUGGCGAACGGGUGAGUAACACGUGAGUAACCUGCCCUUGACUUUGGGAUAACUUCAGGAAACUGGGGCUAAUACCGGAUAGGAGCUCCCGCUGCAUGGGGGGGGUUGGAAAGUUUCGGCGGUUGGGGAUGGACUCGCGGCUUAUCAGCGUGUUGGUGGGGUAGUGGCUUACCAAGGCUUUGACGGGUAGCCGGCCUGAGAGGGUGACCGGCCACAUUGGGACUGAGAUACGGCCCAGACUCCUACGGGAGGCAGCAGUGGGGAAUAUUGCACAAUGGGCGGAAGCCUGAUGCAGCAACGCCGCGUGCGGGAUGACGGCCUUCGGGUUGUAAACCGCUUUCGCCUGUGACGAAGCGUGAGUGACGGUAAUGGGUAAAGAAGCACCGGCUAGCUACGUG